AAUCCAUGGUGAGGGCAUUCUUUGCGGUAGUCAUUAUAACGCUCCCAUGCGUCACAAAAAGGCUCAUCAGUGAGCUGUCUGAAGGAGGUGAUCUUGUUCCUCAAUGC
rfam:Brassica napus, WGS project CCCW01000000 data, contig: 6284